AUGAAGAAGCACCUUGGUGGGGGUUACACAGAGGUGAGAAUGUGUCUAAAAGCAACCGAUGAGAUCAGGAAAGAGAUGCAUUUGUACAUGAAGACCAACUCAACCAAGUUCAAAGCCAUGCAACUUGAUGGGGAUGAAGUUGAAGCAACUGAUGGAGAUGGGGGAGAGGAGGAGGUAGAAGCAAGUUCAAGGGCGUCGAACAGCACCGCAGCCUCCGCGAAAAGGAAGUCUUCUUUUAUUGUGACAGCGCCGGUGGCGGCAAAGAGGAAAAGCAAAGGCAUAACACAAGAAUGUCACACACCGGCGGCAAAGGGGAUCAGAGAAGAGAGGUAG
rnacentral:rRNA from 1 species